ACGCUCGACACCUACGGGAGGUAGCAGUGGGGAAUAUUGCACAAUGGGGGAAACCCUGAUGCAGCGACGCCGCGUGAGCGAAGAAGUAUCUCGGUAUGUAAAGCUCUAUCAGCAGGGAAGAAGAUGACGGUACCUGACUAAGAAGCACCGGCUAAAUACGUGCCAGCAGCCGCGGUAAUCUGAGCGGGCUGGCAAGGC
rnacentral:rRNA from 1 species